rnacentral:rRNA from 1 species
UACGUAGGGGGCUAGCGUUGUCCGGAAUCAUUGGGCGUAAAGCGCGUGUAGGCGGUCCGGUAAGUCCGCUGUGAAAGUCGGGGGCUCAACCCUCGAAAGCCGGUGGAUACUGUCGGGCUAGAGUACGGAAGAGGCGAGUGGAAUUCCUGGUGUAGCGGUGAAAUGCGCAGAUAUCAGGAGGAACACCAAUUGCGAAGGCAGCUCGCUGGGACGUUACUGACGCUGAGGAGCGAAGACGUGGGGAGCAACAGG